UCUCUCUCUCUCUUCCCCUCCCUCUCUGCAAGCAAGAUCAGCCGAUGCAUUAAUGAGUCCUGGAGAGCAUGCGCGUCCAAUUUUUAUGUCUCAUGCGAAGUUCUCAUUGCGCAAAAGAAACUUUCAUGCUUGACUUCAGCCCAAGUUUGAACUUUCAUCGCCCUCCUAUAGGUAUUUAAACCCAGGUAAGUUCUGACACAAACAUAUAUAUAUAUAUAUAUAUAUUAUAUAUGUACUAUCUAUUCACAUAUACAUAUGUAUAUAUGCAUUAUCUAUCUAGAUAUUUAAGACGCGGUGAAAUGCGGGCAAUAUCUUCCACCAUCGAACUGUAGCUCAUCCCUGAAAGCUGAUCAGGUCAAUUUGGCAACUGGAGGCAGAUGUGGAGCCAAACUCCUCGGUAGUUUCUGGUCUUUUGGAGUCUGAUAACAUGUUCAUAUGUUCAGCCACGUGAAAGACAUGAGCUGCACUAGAAUAAUUCGUGUCCUUGGAAGAAUCCUGAUGGUCAUGGCUGAGCUGAGAUGCAACAAAUUUGUCAAGGACACGCCAAUCUGCAGUACUCACCUGUUCCAUCGCUUGCUCGUUGUUACAGUAAAAUGAGUUUAUCAUGUUCUGCUGAUGGCCAGCUUUGAUCUGCAUCAUGUGUUGUUGUUCUUGAUCUUGAGUGAGGUUCGAGGACUGCAAAGCGCUUCCAGUAUUGUUCCUAUCAAAGACAGCAUAGGGAACUAAAUUUGAGUUGCAACUUACGCUGCUGGCUGAGUACUGUGGAAGUUUAGGGCUUUCUAGGUGAGGGAGCUGGAGGAAAGCAUGAUCAUGAUGAUGAUUAGGCAUAUUAUAUUGCAAAUGAUCAUGAUCAGGCUCUUGCUUGCAGUGAUGAUAGUGGUGGUGAUGGGCGUAGGAUGCAUUCAAGGGGUGAGAAACUCGCCUUGGGGAAUCAAGUUCGGGCACAAAUGAGACCUGUUCUUCGUACCAAUUAUAAAGGGAUUCAUACUCGCCCGCUUUCCUCAUAGCUGUCAUUCGCUUCUUGAACACUCUGCAUACAACCCAUCCUUCUUCCUAGUGCAAUCACCAUAAUUACAUCAAUUUAGAAGACAAACAAUCAGGUUCGGAGAAAUUAAUGAGCGUUAGUGUUUGGCAAACAAAUGCGUGUGAAAUGAGCCGGUUUUUAAGUUUAUGAAAGCAGUACUAAAGCUAGAGAGAAAGUUAGUGUUAUUUGAUCACCUGCAGUUCAUUUUCUGAUAAUGUGGAUAUUGUAUUGAAUGAAUAUAUUGCAAUUAAGUAGA